rnacentral:sRNA from 1 species
UACAAACAGGCCGUCCACGAGCUUGUGCGUUGCGUAGCACUGACAAGAAUUUGCUAUGGAGACUCACAUUGGAAACUAGCAGAGGCACAUGUUAAUCUGGCUCAAGGCUACCUCCAGCUGAAAGGACUGUCACUGCAAGCGAAACAACAUGCAGAAAUAGCCAGACAAAUCCUCGCCAACUCCAUUGUGCCUCCCUAUAGUGAGAACACAGAUGUUUUCAAGUUUUCCAUUGAGCUUUUCCAUACCAUGGGCAGAGCUUUACUCUCCCUUCAAAAGUAUCCUUUUGCCUCUAACUUUUACAAAUAGAAAUACUAUUCACGUAAUACUUACAUGCCAAGUAAAAAGCUGAUGCUGAUGGAUGACUUAGGAAGUGUGAUCGGAAGUAUGGGAGCCAAGGAAGUUCAGGACAUGGGGUGUAGAAUCUAGUACCAAGUGGAAAAUUUCCUGAACACAGUUCAGAUUUAAGGAAGCUGCAGAGAAUUUGACAAAAGCAGAGAGACUUUCAAAGGAGCUGCUACAAUGUGGAAGGAUUAUAAAGGAAGAAUGGAUAGAAAUUGAAGCACGAAUCAGAUUAUCAUUUGCACAGGUGUAUCAAGGUCAGAAGAAAUCAAAAGAAGCUUUGUCCCACUAUCAAGCAGCUUUGGAAUAUGUUGGGAUCAGUAAAGGUGAAACAAGUCAUGAGUGUGUACCCAUAUUGAGAGAAUUAGCAGGUGUAGAGCAAGCCCUGGGACUCCACGAUGUAUCCAUCAACCACUUCCUCCAGGCACAUCUCAUCAUCCUGAGUAGAAGCCCCUCUCAAGUGGAGGCAGCAGACUCGGCACACAUCGUCGCCCACGCUGCUGUCGCUUCAGGGAAACACGAGCACCAUGAUGUAGCUGAGCAGUAUUUUCAAGAGAGCAUGGCUCAUCUUAAGGAUUCUGAAGGGAUGGGAAGAACCAAAUUUCUUUCAAUUCAAGAUGAAUUUUGCCAUUUUCUGCAAAUGACUGGACAAAAAGAGAGAGCAACCUCGAUCCUGAGAGAGUCCCUGGAAGCCAAAGUGGAAGCAUUUGGCGAUUUCAGUCCCGAGGUGGCAGAGACAUACCGGCUCCUGGGAAGAGCAGACCUGGCGCAGGGGAACCACAGUGGGGCCCACAAGAAACUGAAGAAGUGUCUCCAGAUCCAGACCCUCUUAUAUGGACCACAGGACAAAAGGACUCUGGCCACCCAGCAGGCCAUGGGCAUGCUGUCCACGGCCCCCAAGGUUGCUUCGAAGCCAAAGCAGGCAUCAAAAGCCAAAGUGGCCUUCUGCACCAGCAUCCCUCAGGACACCCUGCUGGGGAAGGCCCGGCCCGGCACAACAGCAGACUGAGGCCCCCACCCUGAAAAAGCCUAGGACAUUCCUGGGCACUGUCAUUUAGGGUGCUGUACAAAUCACCUCCACCUAGAAAAUGGAAUUCAACAGUCAGGAUACAGAUUUCCAAGGCCAACUGUUGGCCCCAACAUGCAACAGUGAGACCGUAAGCCUCCCGUGGGCCACAUUUUGACAGUGGAUGCCCUUCAGGGUGAUAUAUGCUAUAAAGCAGUUUUCUAUCACCUAAGUGGUUUUUCUUGCCAACAAGAAUUUUUACCCAUCAGCACUACUGUGGCUGAAAAUCUUCUCUUCAACAGUUCAGUGCGCUCUGUGCAGGAGUCAGCCCGGCAUCUGCUUGUACACACAGCUCCUUGCAUAGGUGUGGAGUUAGAUCUGGACAGUGAACUUCAGGAAGGAAGUCCUUUCUUAUAGGAGGCUAACAGGGAUUGAGAAUAACAUGAGAAGAAAACGCUAAUAAAGGGAAACCCGAACGCGCUGCUGUCAGCAUGUGUUUUCAAAGUGCAGCCUGCCUCUGAGUUCUUCGGAGCCUGAAAAGGGGUUUGGGAAAGAGCCCAGUAGGAGGGGCAGGAGGCCAACACACCUGACUUGGCCUGGGGCCCAGGAGGCAGGUGUAAGGGAGUGAAAAGAAAGGCUAGCAGGAGGCUGCGGGGGGAAGACCGCAGACUCCCUGCUGCUUCGCAUCCCUCCUGUGGCCUCCACUGCAGGCAGGACAAACCUGGACGCCACCUGGAGCUGCUUCCUGAGUUGGCACACUAUCGUGUACACAGCAGUCUUCAGCCCCCUGGAAGGAGGCCAUAGUCGUGUGAGGAUGGCAAAGUCGAACAGGAAGCUUUGAGUGCCUUUCUCCACGAUGUCAACGAGGAGGUCCAGUGCCAGAUCAAGGUGGAUGGAACACCCAGGGGUAGGGGUGCAGGUGUGGGCGGUGACGUCCCUGCCCCUCCCUCCCCUGGUCCCACAGACUGUGGCCAUGAGGCUGCAGGCUGGUGCUAUGACAGGAGAUUGCAGCACAGGGCCCUCCCCUCCAGCCCCCAGUGGGACAUCAAAGCCCCCCUGGGGCCAUUUGUGCAGGGCACCACCUCCAGUAUUGAUAGGGAAAAUAAACUCAGUAGAGCCACGACAGGGUGGAGAGAAGCAGGGACCAUUGUCUUCCUCAGGAGCAUGACAGCUGACCCCACAGACCAUGCUUGCUGGUACACACUGGUCCCAGACCCAGGCCUGUCGGACAUCAGCAGUGUGCUAAAAAGGUGUAAGAUGUGGUCACUACUCACCGUGUGUCCUAUCUAGUUGACAUGGGUGGAGUCAGCUAAGGGGUGAAUGUUCAUAUGCUCCCAAUUCACGUUGAAGCCCUAAUCCCCAAAGGGAUGGUAUUAGGGGGUGGGGCCUUGGAGAGGUGAUUAGGUUAUGAGGGUGGAGCCCUGAUGAAUGGGAUUAGUGCUUUAUAAGGAGAGACACCAGAGAGAUGAUCUCUCUCUCCACCAUGUGAGGACACAGUGAGAAGACAGCUGUCUGCAGGCCAGGAAGAGAGCCCUCACCAGGAAGUGAAACUGUUGGCACCUUGAGACUUCCCAGCUUCCAGAACUGUAAGAAAUAAAUGUUUGUUGUUUAAGCC